AUUGAACGCUGGCGGCAGGCCUAACACAUGCAAGUCGAGCGAGCGGCGGACGGGAGAGUAAUGUCUGGGAAUCUGCCUGAUGGAGGGAGAUAACUACUGGAAACGGUAGCUAAUACCGCAUACCAUAAGAUGCCCCCAGAUGGGAUUGGCUAGUAGGUGGGGUAAUGGCUCAUCUAGGCGACGAUCCCUAGCUGGUCUGAGAGGAUGACCAGCCACACUGGAACUGAGACACGGUCCAGACUCCUACGGGAGGCAGCAGUGGGGAAUAUUGCACAAUGGGCGCAAGCCUGAUGCAGCCAUGCCGCGUGUAUGAAGAAGGCCUUCGGGUUGUGAAGCACUUUAAGCGAGGAGGCGUUACUCGCAGAAGAAGCACCGGCUAACACCGUGCCAGCAGCCGCGGUAAUUC
rnacentral:rRNA from 1 species